rnacentral:rRNA from 1 species
GACGAACGCUGGCGGCGUGCUUAGCACAUGCAAGUCGAACGAUGAACCCGGAGCUUGCUCCGGUGGAUUAGUGGCGAACGGGUGAGUAACACGUGAGUAACCUGCCCUUGACUCUGGGAUAACUGCGGGAAACUGUAGCUAAUACCGGAUACGACCCUCGGCGGCAUCGCCAGGGGGUGGUAAGAAUUUCGGUCAAGGAUGGACUCGCGGCCUAUCAGCGAGUUGGUGGGGUAACGGACUACCAAGGCGGCGACGGGCAGCCGGCUUGAGAGGGUGACCGGCCACACUGGGACUGAGACACGGCCCAGACUCCUACGGAAGGGAGCAGUGGGGAAUAUUGCACAAUGGGCGCAAGCCUGAUGCAGCAACGCCGCGUGAGGGAUGACGGCAUUCGGGUUGUAAACCUCUUUUAGUAGGGAAGAAGCGAAAGUGACGGUACCUGCAGAGAAAGCACCGGCUAACUACGUGCCAGCCGCCGCCGUAA